rnacentral:tRNA from 1 species
GGUGACGUGGGUGAGAGGCUGAAACCACCAGUUUGCUAAACUGACGUACGGGUAACUGUACCGAGGGUUCGAAUCCCUCCGUCACCG